AUUGCGCAUGACGCAGUGCAGGCGCAAUAGACGUUCCUUGACUUCCGCGUAUAGAAGGUAUAAAUAUCGAUGCCUCCGGUUUCUCCGGCCUUUUGGGGAAAGACUGCUGCGCCUGCUGUGGCGUGUUUGUGUUCAUUCGGGAUUCGGGAUAGCUUGAUUUGGGGAGAGAAGAGGAGCCUCGCUAAUUUUGCAGUUAACGCUAAUGCUUUGGGGUCCUUUAUUUGGCAGGGAGAGUUGGUAAAGUGAGUAAUACACUAUUUUUGGAAGAUAAAGCCUGGACGGCCUGAAAAUGUUUGGGCACAGUGUUUACCCUAGAACUGCACCUUAAAACCCAGCAGAGUAAUAGGUGGUUCUGUUGCCCAGGGGCCCACUGAAAUUUUUAAGGAUUUCCAAAUGAUACUGGUGUGUGGGCAGGUCUGUUAAAACAGUAUAGUCUUGACCUAGGAGGCCCAGAGACCUUUCCACGUUUCCUAUGAAUUGGAACCUUGUCAUGAUAACACUAAUAUACUACUUAGCCUUUUUUUUUUUUUUUUACCAUUCUGAAGUGGUAUUUUCUAACAGUGAGUGAAAAGCAGAUGCCCAUGAGAACCUAAAUGUCCUAUUAAAAGAAAUCCAUGUCAGUUUCUAAUGUACUCAUAAAUAAAGAUGAUAGUAUACA